CAAGUUGGGCUCGUUGAAGAUCCCUUGGUGGUCUCAAAUCAAUAAGAGUACUCUUCGGCGCCAAGGGGAAAAAUUCAAAAUUUCUAACCAAGUGAACAAUUAAAAUUUAAUGUGUCCCGCACAUUCAUAUAGCCUUAUGCAGUUGUGAGCGCCGUAAAACACUUACCAAUUACAGAUGGAUGGGGUUUUUUGUCAACGUGAAUACCUAAUGAAUAUUUCAAUGAAAAACAACAGACUUGUUAUCUACCGGCUCGGUUUUGGUUUUGUUUUCUAUUACAGACACAAGAAAAUAAAAAAUCUAGACAUCAGCAAUGUCAUCUUUCCGAGCUCUUCUGGUUUUUAUCUUGCUACAAGGUCUGGCCACACCGUCGCGAUGUGAAGAACAAAUCUGGAGAUCAUUUUCCAGGUAUCGGAGACAGACAUCUGGUGAGGACUUGGGCCCUACAGAGGUGGGGACGAGCAUCUCUCGUACAUGUGCGUACAACACUGGUGCAUUGGUACUAACUUGGUGUGGGAAGUGCAGCUGGCGACAGUAAAAAGAACAGUAGCAACGUGUGUGACAAAUCAAGGACUUUACAGCUGUACUGUGUCCUCGGGGUUUUCUUCCUUGUUCACCGUGACAACAGACCAGACACAGACUACACUCACAUGGAACGCUGACACAAGGUUUUUGUCUCUGUCUUGCUCACAGAAUGCAGGUCCCACAAGAGCUUUGAUAGCCAGUUGGACCCUAGUUACUUAUUCAAAACCAACAGACCUCACGUGCAGGAGCCCAGAGUUUACAAACAACAACAACAACACCGUGUCUGUGACAUGUGUGUCCAGUGACAUCUUUCCUGUAGACCCACGAUGUGUGAUGUACAAUGGUGUAAGUGUGUGAGACUUUGAAUUUUUAUUGAAGUUUCUAAACGGUUGAGACUCAGCUCGUUGUAUUGAAAAACCUACUAGAGUGUUUAAAAAACUCAAAGAGUAGAACACAGAGCAUUUUAAUUUGAAAGGAAUUUUGUUUGAGGCCGGAGACAAUCCCUGUUUGAGGAAAUGAGGAUUUAACUACGUAACAAACUUGUUUAUGUUAUAGAAGUUGUACAACAUAGACAAAUAAGAGUGGAGAACACACACGCACACACAAAGAGAGAGAGAGAGAGAGAGAGAGAGAGAGAGAGAGAGAGAGAGAGAGAGAUGGCUUGUUCGAAUACAAUUCAUUUAAUAUCUUGAUAGCGACUAUGGAUAAUCGUACGAAUUGGAUAGAAUAGAUAGAAAUUUGGUUUCUCACCUCAUUAUCUUAGCAACUCAGAUAGAAUCCUGUCAUUCUUUAUUUCCCCUUUUUUUAGAAGAGGUUUUACGGCGCUCGCAACUGCAUAAGGUCACAUGAGCGCCAAGG